rnacentral:rRNA from 1 species
GACGAACCGGGCGAACGUUGUUCGGAAUAACUGGGCUUAAAGGGCGCGUAGGCGGGCCGCCAAGUUCGAGGUGAAAUCCUCCGGCUCAACCGGAGAACUGCCUCGAAUACUGGAGGCCUCGAGGCGGGUAGGGGCGUGCGGAACUGUGGGUGGAGCGGUGAAAUGCGUUGAUAUCCACAGGAACUCCGGUGGCGAAGGCGGCACGCUGGACCCGAUCUGACGCUGAGGCGCGAAAGCCAGGGGAGCAAACGGG